CAGCCGCCACGGUAAUACGUAGGGUGCGAGCGUUAAUCGGAAUUACUGGGCGUAAAGCGUGCGCAGGCGGUUUUGUAAGACAGGCGUGAAAUCCCCGGGCUCAACCUGGGAAUGGCGCUUGUGACUGCAAAGCUAGAGUGCGGCAGAGGGGGAUGGAAUUCCGCGUGUAGCAGUGAAAUGCGUAGAUAUGCGGAGGAACACCGAUGGCGAAGGCAAUCCCCUGGGCCUGCACUGACGCUCAUGCACGAAAGCGUGGGGAGCAAACAGGAUUAGAUACCCCUGUAGUCCCUGUCUCUUAUCA
rnacentral:rRNA from 1 species